AUUGAACGCUGGCGGCAUGCUUUACACAUGCAAGUCGAACGGCAGCGCGGGCUUCGGCCUGGCGGCGAGUGGCGAACGGGUGAGUAAUGCAUCGGAACGUGCCCAGUAGUGGGGGAUAGCCCGGCGAAAGCCGGAUUAAUACCGCAUACGACCUGAGGGUGAAAGCGGGGGACCGAAAGGCCUCGCGCUAUUGGAGCGGCCGAUGUCGGAUUAGCUAGUUGGUGGGGUAAAGGCUUACGAAGGCGACGAUCCGUAGCUGGUCUGAGAGGACGACCAGCCACACUGGGACUGAGACACGGCCCAGACUCCUACGGGAGGCAGCAGUGGGGAAUUUUGGACAAUGGGGGCAACCCUGAUCCAGCCAUGCCGCGUGCGGGAAGAAGGCCUUCGGGUUGUAAACCGCUUUUGUUCGGGAAGAAAUCCUCUGGGCUAAUACCCCGGGGGGAUGACGGUACCGGAAGAAUAAGCACCGGCUAACUACGU
rnacentral:rRNA from 1 species